GUUACAUACUCGAUCUCCUUUCUUGCAGAUGUAUACUUAGGAAUCAUCUUCAAGCGAUAAAAUUAUAUUAAAUAUUUUUGAUUGAUAAUCAAAAAUAAUUCACUAAAGAAAAAUGUAAUAUAUCAUAAUACUAUAAAUUUCAAACUUUUAUUUUCCAAAUUUUACACAAUAUAAAGUCAUACAAUUUACAAUUAGAUGAAAAAAAGAAUAAUUGUAAUUGUAUUAAAUAAAUUAAAAUUAUCUUCAUUAUCUAUUAAAAACAUUAUCUAUUAAAAUCAAAAUUCAUAUUAUCAUAAAUUAGAAAAAUUUCCAAUAAUUAAAAUAAUUACCUUAGAAAAAUUAUUGCUUUAGAAAAUCAACUUCUGUUUUUUAAUUAAAAUUUCCAAAAUUGAUAAAAAUACUGCGACGUCUCGCAAAGCUCUCAAACAUAUUGAACAUCGCUGUCUGCUGUUCGUCAAAAGUCACGCACACGAGGAUACCAAGAAAAGGAUCUCCAUCUUCAAUGCACGAUCCAUUCUCGAAGAACACGCGCGAGAGGUUAGAUCGACUAAUUUAAACAUCCUACUUUUUGAAAACGGUGAAGUUGCGACCUUUUUGGCCAAUUAACACGGUGGGAUUGUGUAUUCAGUCGAUAGCACUCGAGCAACGGUAUCCAACGCGAAAAGCCACUUUUGGCUAGGGAUUUGUGUACGGGAUACACGCAGACGAUGUACACAUGGACAGGAGCGAGGCGUAUGCAGUGUGAAAACUCGAGGGCGCUCCGUGGCUCUAAAUUAAAGGCGCACGUCUGCGAAUUCUCCAGUCAGUCGUCGGAUUCCCGUGAAGAAACCGCAUCUCAUUUCGCUAUUUACUAUACCUAUCGAACGAGAGAGACAAAAAAGUUCGAAACGAGUCACGAGUGCAUCGAUGCCGGAUUGGUCAAUGUUUCACUCACGAGUGGAAACAGCUUCGUUCGUGUCCAUGUUCUAUUUUCGAUCAAGCAACGUUUCCUAUUCGCGCAUUCGUCACGUGUAGUUUUACAAUUGCGGUUGGUUACGGCCGUUGCUUUGGAGGAUGGGUGUAUUUGUCUUUGUGGCUUAUUUGUACAGUUGGAGUGGGGUUCGAGUGAUCUAUCCAAACUGAGAUAUCGGUGGAAUUAUAACCGGAUUCGAUCCAAGAUCGAAAGUGGUACAGUGAGAAAUAGCAUAUAAAAUUCAGAAAUUUGUUCUUUUGAUUAGGCGUUAGGUCUAGAACUUAAUUCGGUAGGACUUAAUUCAUUUUUUAGGUUAAAGGUUAUAAUUUUGAUUUAAAUAUUUCGUAAGAUGUGGAGAAUGUGGUAGAGUAAAGGUAUGAGAAUCUAUAGUAUUUUUAUAAAGAAACGUAGUUGGAACUAUGGAUAUGAUUUUGAAUAUGAUUGUUCCAUUAACAAACUAUUAAAAUCUAUUUUUCUUUUUCGUCGAGAAAAAUCUGUACUCAUUCACACAUAUAUAUAUUACUACUAAAGAUCAACCAAUUGAUAUUUCUAAAAAUUCCAAAUUACAAUUCACCAUCUCUCAUACUUGUAAAUCAAAGAAUGACAGAAGGUUGGCAUGUUAGAAUUGGAGUUGAAAAUUAGAAUGAGAAAACCGAGGAGGAAUGAAUCAAUUAGAGCCAGUUUCCUCUCCUCGCCAUCAAUUUCCCAAGUGAAACGUGCGACUAAUGUAGUAGACUAGACAAUCUGUGCUGAGAAGAUUUAAUUCUCUGAAAUAAUCUGUUCUAUCAAUAUUCUCAAUUCGACUUAAAUUUAAUUCAACAAUUUUACAAACUUUCUGCAAAUUAAUUUGUGUGAUUGAAAUAAUCUAAUUCUUGUUCCAUGAAUGUUCUUGAAUUUAAAAAAAUUUAAAUAAUAUAAUUUGCGACGCGACGAUUCUACAAAUUUUUUACAAAAUAUAUUCUUCUAAUUUAUGCGAUCUAUAAUAUCAUUGAAACAACAUAUUUCUGAUCCACUUAAAUUUAAUGGAACAUUUUCUACAAUUUCUCUGCAAAUAUAUUUCUUAAUUUAUAUGGAAGAUAAAAAUUGUGUGUGACAAUAUUCAAUAAACGAGUUAAUUAUGGGACAAUAUAUUCUUAAAAAUAACUCAUUAACUUUUCACCUUUUAAAGUUCUUUAUAUAAUACGCGAUUUAAUAUUUCUUAUUUUAAUUUUAAUAUUAGGUAAUCAAGAAAAUUUUCUUAUUUCUUUUCAUGAUAGAUCAUAAAUAUAUAAUUAUUCGUCUCGAAAUUGUCUCGAAUGAUACUUUGAGACUUUGCAAAGCAUUUCCAGAAAAAUCGUCUCAAGAUUUCUUGAAUUAUUAUAUAUGUGUACGUAAUCUUUAAUAAACCUAUUUUUAGAAUAAUUAUUUUUAGAAUUAAAAAUAAAAGUAUUAAAGAGAAGAAUUUUUUAAAGUCUUUACUUUCAUAUUUAUAUAUAUUUUUUUUCUUUUCGAUCUUUUCUACAUUGCUUAAAUUUUCCUUUUCCACAAAGAAAGAAACUUUCUUGAUUAACUAAUAUUUUUGUAUAAUUAUUUGUAUAAAUCGUAUGCUAUAUUUUGUUAGAAAAAUUAAAAUAAAAAAAAAGAAAUUACGAAAAUAAACCUUCGACAGAAAAUAUCCCGGAGCAGAGCUACGUAGCUUAUGUUCUUGUUAACUCGUCUUACAGUAACAAAGAGAAAUGCAAUUUCGCAGAAACGAAUAAUCACGAGCAUCGAUGAUAAGGAUUUUAUUUUCUUUAACUCUUUGUGAAUGAAUUCGCACGUUUUAUCGAAAGAUUAAUUACGAUAAAUCAUAUUAAAAUAAUAUACCUCGUUCCUUUAUCUUUCAACAAAAAUAUUAAUAUAUAUUAUAAUACAUUCUUAAAAUCGAAUAAAAAGGAUAUUGCUUCAAAUUCAAUAUUUAUAAAAAUUAAAAGAAAAUUCUAUCUACAGUGUAUCAUAUUUUUAAUUAAAAACAAUAUUCAUUCAAAAUUAAAUACUCUUGAAAUACUAUCUUUUAUACAACAUAUACAGAAGCAUCAAUGAUUCAAAUAAAAUUACAUUUAACAAAAGUACACGGAAUAAUAAUAACACAAGUAUCUGAUGUAUUUUCCAUACAUUAAACAUACAACUCAAUUCUUGACAAUUAAUAACAAAUUAUUCACGAAUACUAUAAAAACGUAUGUUCAAUCCUUUUUACUGCAAAAAAAAGAAGAAAAUUUCAGAAAGGAAAAAUAAAAAACACGAAUCUCCAAUAACAAUGAUACCAUCGACGAUUAUGCGUCACUGCAUAAAUCCUUUUUAGCUUGGUGUCGUGACGCGGGUGCAAUCUUUUCGAAUUUUCUUCCUCUUCUUCUUCUUCACCGGCCGAAUAUUCAAAUAAUUCAAAUCCACGGACGGUAGGCGUGGAUUUUCUAAAUAUUUGGCCGAGCGUGUUUAUCGACAUGUCGGUGGUGGACGUAUGAGCGAGUUAACAGGCACGAGCACAUAGGCGGGAUGCCGUAUGCAGCGCGAAAGGGAGGGGGGAGAAGAGACAUGGAAAGGCGGCCUGCUAGAUCCGCCGCUAAAAAUACACGUCGCAAUAAACUCAAGGGUGACGUCCACUACAUAGACACGACGUAUUUAGCUGUCCUUAGUUACACAUUCAUUCUUAUUCCUCUUUUUCUUCUUCUUCUUUUGAGUUGGCCGUUUAAAAGAAAGUUUCCUUUUACCGGCGGAGCUGAAUCCGAGUCGCAAUCGAAAAGCUAGCUCUCGAAAAGGUGAUUGAGAGUGUGCUCGUGUGUGUCGAUGAAUGGAGAGUUUUCAUUUGGAAUGGAAGUGGGAAAUGAAGGGAGGUUAAUAAUUUAUCUAUUUUUCGAAUUGUUGGUGUUUAUUUAGUUGGAGUUAGGCGAUGAUAAAUAAGGAAGGAAAGAAAAUUACUCGUGGAUUAUUUAUCUUUUUAAAAUUAUUUUAUAUUUGAAAUAGUAAAAUGACGAAUAAUAGUCAUACGUUUUCAUCGUAUUUGAUAUAAAAGUAGGAGAGAAGAAUUCGUUGAUUAUGACAAAAUUUUUAUUCUUGGAACAUUCUUAUUAGAAUUUCUGAAUUUGUGAUUUUAUUUUGAUAAUGCAUUCUAAUUCGAGAUUUAAAAAAUUAGGAUAUUUUUUUUUUAUCUUUUAUUUGUUAUUAUUAUUAUUAUAAUAUCAAAAAAAGGAUUCAAAAAAUGAGAUAUAUUUUUAUUUUUUGAUUUAAAUAAAGAAUUAUGGAUGCUUUUCCUUGUUUUUUUGUUAAUUGAAUAAUUGUCUUCGUAUUGUUUAAUUUCUAAAAUAAUAUUUAUAAGAUAGAUAAGAAAGGUAAAGAAGAUUAAUAACAAUACGAUAUUGUUUAAAGCACAUUUAAAUUAUAAAAUAAUUUCUAUCGUAGAAUAUAAUAUAUUUUUUUUAAAAAAAGAAAACAUUUUAUUUGAUUUAUUAUUAUUUUACAAUUCAAGAAAGAAUGCAGUUGAACAAAAAUCCAAAAAUUUCAAUGCAUAUUAUAAAAUCUUCAUAAAAAUUAAAUUUAUAUAAAUAUAUAAAUAUUUCGAUUUCAUUAUAAGAAACAUAUAAUUUUGAUACUUAUAAGAAAAAAUAAUCAAUUGAUUAAAUUAAACAUAUAUAAAUGAUUAAAUUCAGCGUAAUAGAUGAAGUUUGGAUAUGUAAAUGGAUAACUUCACAGUUAGUUUGUUGAUAUAGCGUAUCUGGACUCUGCAGUGCGUCAGUGUAGAUCGUGAGUAAUUAAUAACAGUAAGUCAAAUUGCUUCCUAAGUUUAAGACUUACACAAAAUGAAGUGUGCACACAGAACAUAAUAUCAUAGUAUAUUUUUCAACUAUAAUUAAAUUCUAUUUAUUUCUCAUAACUGAAAUAAUAAUCUUUGCACAAACCUUAUUUCUUUUUCGAUGACUCCAUACAUUUAAAUAUUUCGUUUUUAACUAUUUGCCAAAAGUUUCGAAUUAUUUUCCCAGCUAUAUCGAUUCUUUUUACUUUUUUUUAAUUUCGAUAUCAAUUCUCGAAAUUAAUUUUACAAAAUAUCUAUCGAAAUUACUCUAUAUGCAGUAAUUUACUUGAACAAAUUUUAUUUAAAAAAAAAAACUUUUCGUAUUAACAUUACUUCGAUUUCUUUUUUUUCAAUUUUUAAAAUUUUUUUAAUUUGCACAUCUUAAUGAAUAUAUUUUUCAGAUUGCUCGUGUUAAAAGACGUGUGAUAUUAUAUUAUUGAUUAUUUAUUAAGUAAAAAUCUUUGAUUAGCUGUGCCACGGCAUUGCGGUAGAAGAUACGGAAACUUCCAAAAGAAUAAACUUCCAAAGCAUCCCACUAGAUGACACUAAUGAAGCUCAUUUAGAAUUAAUAAACGAGAAAGUAGUUUCAGAUGUUCCAAGUCAGACUCCGUCACGUUCGUCCCACUGGGAUAUUUACAAGUUCCAUUGAAAUGUUCAUUUAAAUGCACUGCGUCAUUGCAAAAGUGCGAUUCUUUCAACUUUGAAUAUUCCAGUAUUUUGGGUAAUUUUUGACCCAAUAUCCUUACUUUAAAUAUUUCCAAUAUUAAAAAAAAUCUAUCUUUGAUUCAGAAAUAGAAGAAACUCGAGAUAUAAAAGUUUCUCUCGUGUUUUCAAUAUUACUAAAUUAUUGAUUUUAAUACGAAGAAAAACUUUUAAAAAUCAAUAUUAUUUCUUACUUUAAAAUUUUGCAUCAAAAUUUUUCUUCGCACAUUGAAAAUCCCUUUGUGAAUCAGAAAUAAGAAGGAAAUAAAAAGAGACGAAUAAAAAUCAGAGGAGCAAGAUUAAUGUUAAUUUCGAAUGUUGAAGUAUUUUUUUGUAUCCUCGAUAUAUUUAUAUUCUUAAUUUUUAAUAAUUUUGAUAAAGUAACGUUUAAUUAUAUUUUUAAAAAUUUUAUAUUCUUUUAUUCUUGAAUAUGUGAGAUUAUAUUAUAUUUUGCUGAAAAGUUAUUAAAAUUGUACGUAACAAGUACAAACAGGGAAAUUGCUUUUAUUAAAAAAACAUUGGGAGAAUUUUUAAUCAAACGUUGUAAUAAAUGUUGAGCUAUCAUCAUUAAUUUCUCUUCUAAUAUUUGUACAAUUAAAUAUAAAAUUGAAAAAUAUCGUUGGAUAAUAUAAGAAUAUUUAAAUUCAUAAAAUAUUAGAUAUAUUUUUCUUUUACGUUGAAAAAAUAAUUGUAAUUAUUAUUAUAAAAUUUAUUAUUAGUAUUAUUAUUUGUAAUAAUUAUAUUUAAUCUAUUUUUACAAUUUCAACGUUUUUCAAAAUAAAGAUUUUAUAUUUUUAUAUAGAUUCAAAACGUUUCAUUUUAUUCCAUUUUACUUCAGCAAAAAAGAUACAUCAACACUUUUGAAAAAUCAUAUCUCUCUUAGAAUUUAUCAUUUUCUUACAGAAUCUAAAAUUUAGAAGAUAUAGAGUCUAAAUACAAAUAAACAAUUUUAUAAUUGAACUUCUAUUUUGAUGAAUUUUCCAAGAAUAUAAAUUUUAUCGCUGAAAUACAAUAUCGUGUUCCUUUAAUAAUCCUCUAUUAAAUAUGGAUCGGAUAUUUAAACAUCUAUUAUUUUCAUCCACUCGAAAAAUCCAAGAAAAUUUGUAAUUAUAUCAAGUUAUAUUAAAAAUGAAACUUAAUCAAUCAAAAUCGAGAGAACUAAUUCUGAUUUCUGCAUAUUCUUUGAAAAAAAUAAAAGUGCAAAUUAACAUUUCAAAUAUAAUUCUGAAUUUGUCCAAAAGAGAAUAUAUUAUCCUUUUUUUUCAAUCUCAAGAAUUAUUUAAUAAUUUUUUCAUAAAUCUAGAUAUCAUUUUAUUUUGUGUGACUUUCUAAAAAAAGAUAUUAUUAUUUGUUCAUUUUUAAAAAAAAAUAUUUUAUAAAAUUUUACAUAAUAUUAAGUGUAUUGGAACACGAAAUAAGCAGCAGAUAUAAAAUAAUAGGCUAAUGCCCGAGAAAAUAAUAGUCGGGAUAAUAAAAGUUGCUAGCCAAACUUUGUUCAGCCUAUUUUACGACCACCCAUUGUAUUGAUUAAUGUUGAUAGUACGAAGCUCGUAUUUUCCACUCCAAUACUAUUUCUCCAAUUCGUUGUUUCUUUCAACGAGUAACAGACAGACAAGAAAGAAUUUCAUGGAAACAAAACAAUCCAUAGUGAUUUUAAGAGAUAAGCAAUUAUAACAAAUUUAUUAUCAAAUAAUUAAGAAAAUUCCAUGAUUCCUUUUACGAUAGAAAAAAAAUAUAUGACAAAAUAAAGAAUCACUUUUAAAAUUGCACACCUGUGCAAUACCAUUUUACAAACAAUAGAAUUUUAUUGCACAAAGAGAGAUUUAAAAUUAGAUGCGUAAUUGUACACUUGGAAUAUAUAUUUACUUUUCAAUAAUUAUCUCGUUCAAUUACAUAAUAAAUUCACGAAGAAAAUUUGAUCAGACGAUUCCUUAUUCAAUUUUUUUCAUCUUCGCUUUUCGAAUCACAUUUCACAGAGAAAUUCAUCCAACUCGAACAUUCCAAACCAUUUUAAAUUAAUGCAUGUAUUCUCGACGAGAAAUCCCUUUCAAAGGAACUCUCCCUUAAUUUCAUCCCCUUAAAAUUCUCGAAGAAAAAAGAAAAAUUGCCACUAUAAUUGCUUUAAAUAAUCCAUUUAAAGUUGAGAAAUUAACUUGACCAAUAAAUAUGGCAGAAAUUAACAAAAAUUCCACCAAAAUUAAAAUCAACAGAUAGCGAAGAGAAACUAAAAAAAAAAAAAAAAUCGAUCGGCAGAUACGUCGAACAACGGUGACAGCGAACGCCAUCAAGAGAUGGAGGAGAAUCGUGGCUCGUUCGAUCGUGCAACAAUCCCUCACGACGACUACGACGACGACACCCCGUUCGAGACCCCUCCUCGACCCCUAAAUUACCACCGAUCGAUCGACAAUUGCUACGUACUUUGCCCAAGGGACGGCCAAGAACGCGCCGCCUCCUUCUACAUCGAGAGCAUCGAGUUCGCGAACGAGUUCAACAAUCGUCUCUGCCCGUCCUACGAGCAACCGCGGCGCGCAAAAAUGUCGAAACAGGGCAGAAGCAAUUCGAUGGUCGAUCAACGCCGUCGUUCCAGCGUUCAAUCGAACCGCUCGAGGACAAACAGCUGCGGCAGGCCAACACCGCUAGGGAAUGGUAGAAGAGGUAGCUCGAGUAGAAGAACGAAAGUACGAAGGGCGAGUUCCACUCAUAGAAAGGAUUCUGUCCGGCCUCUGAAAAUGGUAGUGAAAGAGGCGCAGAAAAUUGUGGAGGAUGAACGAAGUUUAGAGCAGGCGAGACGCCAUCGAAGGAUCACUAUGAUCAUCGUGGGAACGUUUAUUUUCCUUCUGGCGGCUUCCGUACUCGUCGUGGUGGUUACGUUAACCCACAGCACGUUUUUGAGCCCGCCCAUGGGCUCCAAGGAGCUUGCCGAGCAUCGAGCUCAGACUGCGCAGAGAAAACGAGGAGCUGUUGAAUUCCCUCAACAGAGUCUUCGAAACUGAAAACUCAACAAUGACACUCUGAACAAACUGUUUUCUAAGGAAGACGAGUGGCCUGUUUUGAUGCGUCUUUCGGAGAAGUUUGAAAUUGAAGCAAGAAGCAAGAAGCAAAAGAAGAAGAAGAAGAAAAACUAUCGCUUAACUUCGAAGUAGAAAAGAAGAGAUCAAGGAUCGUUUUUCAAAAGCAGGCAAAGUUUUAUUACAAUUCCAUUUUAUCCAAGACGUAUAGUUAGGUGUAGCGAGGAAAUGGCCAAAUUUCAUUUGUCAAUGUCGACACGAGGCUAAUUUGUCCACUCUGUCGAUAGAGUACGAACUUCGAAACUAAAUCUAUAACAAGAUGGUGUCGACAUCUGUAAUUCUGUCCUCGUUAUUUCGAAGGUACGUCCAACCUCACUUUUUUUCAUUGAAGUGUAUAAUUUGAUAUUCUCUGGGAGGAAUCGAAUAUUACACUGUCUCAAAAAUUCUUUUCGUUUCUUCUUUUUUUUUUUUUUAAUACGAAUUUAUUAUAUUCUCUUAGAACUUUUGCAAUUUCGAUGAUCAUACAUAGUACAAUGACAUUUCAUCGUUUGUGAAAUUUUAUAUAAUUUAUAUACAAAUUGAUUGGUAUUAAUAUUCCAUCUAUUAUUUUUCCAAAAUAACUUUGAUUUAUAAUUGUAUCAAUAAUUAAUAAAAAUAUGUUUCAUGUUAUGUUUUAUAGAAGAAUAUUUCGAAUAUUUAAAGAGUAAAAAAUGAUUAAAUCAAUGCAUAAAUAGAUGAAUGAAUAAAUAUAUUAAGUGUCAUUAGUUAAUGAUCACGUAGCGCUAGUGUCGUUGUCAUUAAUCAUUAUAGUGUUAUGUCAGAUUUUUAAUAUCAAAGAAUAAAUUUUUUUAAAAUCAAAUCCAUUUUAUUUAAUAUAAUUAAAUAAAAUAGAUAGAUUACAAUCUAUUCAACUUGUAAUUCGAUAAUUUUCUAAUAUUAUUGAUAAAUUUUACGAAAAGAUACUUAACAAAAAUACAAGUGUUCUCGAAAAAUGAAAAAUAAUUUCUUAAAUAUGCAAAUAACGAAAAGAAUUUUUGAGACAAUCUAAUGAUAUACAGGGUGUUUCCUAUUUUCCUAUCAAACUGCAGGUGCACAAUCUAUAUAUGAAAAUAGAAAAGAAAAUGUAUACAAGAUAUUAAUAUAUUCUUAUGACAGAGCCGAGUAUUUUCAUUUUAUUUCAUUUAAAUUAACUAACUUCUUUUGUUUGUUUUGGCCUUUAGAAUCGACCCUCGAAAGGUGUCUCGUGAAUAUAUUAUACGAAGUUUGUAAAUGUUUUCAUACAAAGUUAUAGAUAAAGUUAUACAUUAAAAUAUGUGCAAUCUAAAUAUUUCCAUAACGGCAAAUUCUGCAUUAGGAUAAUUCGAAAUUUUAUUUUUUCAGAUAAAAAUGUGAACAAUUUAAACGAUCAAAAAUUUAAAAAAAAAUUAUAAUAUAUAAAUAAAAUAAAAAUCAAUUUAAUACUGAACACUAUUAUUAACACAUUUAAAGUGCGUUUAAUAGCCUAGAACUUUGUAACAUUUUAAACAAACUUUUACAUUUUCAUUUAUAGAUUGUACAACUUUUGCACAGCGGUUAUUUUCAUAUCGAAAUUAAAAUUAAAAUUAAAAAUAUACGAUAAUUUGAAAUAUAGAAGCCAAUUCUUUUCUUUUUAACAAUCGUAUCAAUAUAUAUAUAUAUAUACAUAUUUUUUUUAUAUUAUUUGAAAAGAAAAAAAAAUCAAUAUUUUUAUCGAUUUCUUGCAACCCUUUCAUCACUCAAAAUUGAACCAACAAGAAUUAAAAUUGGAAAUAUACUUUUUAAUUACCAUUAGUUGAGAACCACUGUUCCUGCAGUUUUCUUAAAAGUUGGAAACAUCCUGCACAAUCAAACACGAAGAUAGAAAGAAGAAAGAAAGAAAAAAAUUAAAUAAGAUAAUAAGAAUCCACAAAAAAAGUUAUCUGCGACGAUUAUAUGUAGAUACAAGUCGCAAUUGUUAGUUUGUUGUUGUUAUUGGCGCGGCAAAUGGAUGACCGUGUGAAGCCUUGUUACGAAACUGCAUUGUAUCGUUCGUUCGAUGCACGAGAAAUUCUAUUCCAAAUAAAAAUGUACCGUAUACUGAAUUUCGAAUUUCCCACAUCGUAUAAUAUCGACAACGAAGAAAGGAAUGUUAAAAAAAAAAAAAAAGAAAAAAAGAAAAAGAAAAAGAAAAAAAAAGAGAAGAAAAGAGUUCGCGAAACUCGAUUUUAAAAUUCCUUGUUGAAAAAAGAAAUCCAAACAAUCAGUAUUCCUGAGACAAAAGUGUAACCUUGCUGUUGUUCCAUCGAUAAUGCGUAAAUGAAAGUGUGUUGUAGAUACAUAUAUAUAUACAGGCUGUUCCAUUUGAAAUCGUCUCUUAAACUGUUCAUUUUUUAAAAGAAUGUUUCAAAUGAAAAUUGAAAUUUCUUUGCGGUCGCAAAUUAAAUCUUAUCUUAAAUCCUGGUGGAUGAGAUUUCAAGGUGAACUUUGUCUAUUAUUAAUGGAAUCGUGUGUAUUUAGAUAGACGAAUUCAAUGACUCGUAACGUGUCUGAGGUCAUUCAAGGUGAUUCAAAUUUCCUUAGAUUUCGUUUGUCUGAAUAUUUCGUCGAUUCUGUUGCAAACAUAAAUUGAAAUUAAUGAUCAUUGCAAAAUAAUUUUUUAUUUGAAAUAUUUCUUUUUCAAAAAAUGAAUUUUAACUUAAGAGGAAAUAAUGGAACGCUAUUGUGUAUAUUUGCAAUUUUAUUUCGAAUUAUAAGUAGAGUAUAAAGACUUUGAUAUUUUUGAUUCCUAUCAAUGCUCGAAAUUGAAUAAAUUAUUUUUCCCUCUCUUUGUUAUUCGUGUGAUUUCAAAUUAAGAACAAGCUUAAUUAUUAUUAGAAGAAAAAUUGUAAAUAAUUGAAAAAAACGAAAUUAUAGAUCCGUCUGUCGUUUUUCUUUCUAUAAUUAUAUUCUCGAUUUCUCGAUUGUGUAAAUUUGAUUUUUUCAUUACCGAGAAAUGUAGAGUGGUUAUAAUUUUCGUUGCAAAAGUGUCUUCCAAUUUAGAGGAAACGUGACAAGUAGUUGUUAAAUGAGUGAACUGCUCGAUUUUUUUUCCCAAUGAAGAUGCUCGUGAAGAAAUCUUUCGAGUUGAAUAUUUAUAUUACACGAAGCAUCGAUCGUUAGAAAAAUAGCCAGAAUAAUUGUUGUUGACAAUCUCAUACGAGAAAAAAAUUAUAUUAUUCUGGUAUUUAAGAGAAAAAAAUGCAGGAAAUGUUGGACUUCGUUGACAAGGAUAUCGUCACGAUUUAAAUAUUUUACACUUAAAAACUUAUUUUAUUUACAUGAAAUAUCAUUAGAUUAAAUGUUAAAAGAAUCUUUUUAUUCUUCAAAUAUUAUAAUUGAAUUUUGUUUUUCGAAUACGUAUUGUAUACAUUUUUAUGCAUUCAAAUUUUAAAUAGAUUUAAAUCUAAAUCAAAAGCAAUUAUCAUUUGUCAAUUAAUUUUUACAGAAAUUGAAAUGUAAAUUCGAUGAUAGAAUUACAGAUAUAAUGUAAUAAAUACGUACUUUGAUUAUUUAUUUUGACUAUUUGUGAUCUUAAACAAGAUUUUCGUGCAAUAAUAUAAUGAUAUUGAAUAAAAUUUUAAUUUCUUUGUGUACACGAAUUUUUAGAAUUAAUUUUUUUUUUCAAACAAUCAAGCAAACAAUUAUUAAAAUAGUUGAGAUUUUUUUCAUAAUAAUCGUGACAAUUUUCCUGUUGACAUACGCAAUUUAUACUUUUAAACGCAAUUGAAAUCGAAGCAAACAAUACCUACAACACAAAGCCUGAUCGAUUCAUCAAUGGAUAAAAUUGUUUGAUUUCCCUUGAAACUUAUUUGAAUAAACUAUUUUACGUCCAUAAGAUGCGUAUCAACGUCGACUGUAUACCAAUGAAAGAACAACUUUUCUCGUGACAGUAUUGUUCGAGAAGAACUUAUCGAUGCCGCCAUUUUAGAUCUCAUCACCAUUUUAGAUUUAGUCGCAGUGUCAAAGAGUCAAAGGAUGGAUCUGAACAAGCGUUAAUGUUUUCGUCGUGUAAUCUUGUAAGCCGUAGCAUCUGAGACCUCGCCUUUUAGAAAUAAUAAUACAAUAAUAAUUUAAAAGGUACCUCUUAUAUUUUUUGCCAAAAAAGGAAACAAAAAGAAAAUCGUGAAACGAAUAAAACUUUGGAUACUUACAAUAGUGAUGAAUUGUUAACUAUUGUUGGCUCGAAUGAGAAUUCGUUUAAGAAGAAUUAUAAUUGAUAAUUAACUUGUGAAAGGAUAGAAGUUUUCUUCGUCGAAAAAAAUUGAUCUUUCGUUAACUCGAAUUAUAGAAAAUAUACGAAACGAACGUAUAAUUCUGCUCAAUUGAAAUAAAGAUUGAGAAACUUUUUGAAAAAGGAUAUAAACAAACAUUUUAUUCGAUAUCAUAUAAUUGUUUUCGAAAUGUUGCAAUUAAUUUUCUAAUUGUAACUGUAUUGAGAUUUUUGGUUAAUAUAGUAAAUUUUAUAGAAAAAUUUUUUGUAAAUGAUAAUAUUUAAAUCUGAAUUUUUUUCUUAAUUUUUUCCAUUCCAUGAAAUAAAAUUUAUAAUUUCAAAUUAUAGAGUUUUGAUGUUAAAAACUUAUUUUUUAUUCUUACAUAAUAUGUUCUUGCAUUAUCAGAAUUGUUUAAAAUAUUUUAAUAUAUGAAAUAGAAUAUCUUAAUCAUUAAGAUAUCAAAAAUAAUUAUAAAUCCUCUUCUACAAAGUUUCUCAAUUAUUUCUAGUUUAUGUUCUAAUAUAUGUGCAAUUAAAAUUUGAAUUCGAGAACUUUGCAAGAGAACGUGGCACAUUCAUUUGUAAAAUUCGUAAAAUUAAUGUAAAUUAAAAAACAUUGUUUAUAAAAUUAUUAUCUAAUACUCUAACAUUUGAAAAAUAAUACUAAUCGAAAAAAAUGUUUUCAUAUAAUAAGUGAUAAAUUUUUAUGGUGAUAAAAUUUUAUUCAAUUCUUGAUAAAUUAUUCAAAUGAAGCAGUCUUUAAUUGUUACUAAAUUAUAAAAAAAAAUACUUAGUAAGACAAUAGUUAAUAGACAAUACAACACAUCAUUUAUCGUUACUUUAUUAAUCAAAAAUAUCAUCUUUUGUUAGAUGUAAGAGAAAGAAUUUGCAUUCUCUAUUUCGCAAAAUUCAAUUCAAAUUCUCUAAAAAAUUAUUUAUAUCUUAAAAUAGAGAAUUUAUAUAUUUCGUUUAGAUACAUAAAAUGUAUCAAUAAUAACUCAAAAACUAUUAAAGAUGAAAGAUGGAUCUGCCCUCUUGCUGCAAUGUUCUCAAUUAAACGUAUUCGCGAAUAUCAACAAAAUAUCUCUCGGUUUAUCAGUCGAUCAAAUAAAAAAAAAAAAAGAAAAGAAAAGAAAAGAAAAGAAAAAUAACGAAACACGUAUUGUCUACACAGAAAGAGAAGAAAAUGGUAUUGAAAUAAUAAUUGGAUUGAAACGUGAAUAAUUUGUGAAAGGUAACGUUUACCUUUUAGGUUAUAAUUCAUACGUGCAUACUUUGUAAUAUCGAAUAAUACGCGUUAUUAGUGAUAUACAUUAUAAUAAAUAUUAUUUAGUUUAGCAUAAUAAUUAUUAGGAAUCACACACUGUAAAACGAUAAUUAAGCGUAAUUCGAUGAAUUGAAUCGUUUUAUCCAUCGAUACUCGACCAAAUUUCUAUCUCGUCAAUUCUUCGUCUUUUACGCCGAAUUUUUACUAAUAAACACACUGUUUCUCUUAUUAUUCUAAAGGCAGCCGUCCUCAAGAAAUGAUUGAUCUUCUUCUCAGGAGAAAGGAAAGUUCGAACAGGCUUUUGUCGCAAAAUGAUUCUCCAAAAAUUAAAUAAAGAUCAUAUUCAGAGAAUAUUUUUGAUCGUGAUAAAUAUGGAAAGAAAUUAAAUAAUUCACGAAUUUCGUUUAUACAUUUUUUGAUUUUUCGUAAUUUUGUAAUUUUUCUUUUUUUUUUUUAAAAUUGUUAAAUACAAAAAGAGGUUUAUACGAAAUGAAUAAUUUCGAAAAAUGUGAUAAAGCGAUAUAUAAUUAAUUUUAUUAAUUAGGUUAAUUACGUUAUACAAGUUUCUAUGUUGUUUUAUUUAUUUAUUAUGUUCUGUAAUAGUUUAUAUAAAGUAACAAGUUGAUUUUGUGAUUGUUAUAUAUUAUUAUUUUAUAUGCUCCCAUUCCCAAAAUAUUAUGAAAUAAAUCUAUCAUGUUGAUACAAAAUAAGAAUUAACAAAGCAAAUUAUUAAUAAUUUUGUUGUUACAAAAUGUUAACAAGAUUGUUUCUUUCUUCAUGCUUUUAUUUUACAGCUCAUCUUAUCGAUUGUCUCUAAGUUUAAUAAUUUUUCUUUGAAAAAUAUCUUUAAAACGAGAUCUGUACGACAAGAUAGGAUAAAUAAGUAGUAAUACACAAAAUAAUAGAGUUCGUAAUUCUAGAGUUAUACUACUUAAUUAUCUUCUCAAUUUGAUAUUAGUCUUUCAAAAAUUUCUUUUUCAUCAAAUCUUUUAUUAACAAUAUAUAUAAUAAACUACAUAUAUCAUAUUAUUAUUUAAAUAAUUAAUUAAAAUAAAAAAAUUUAUUUUCAGAUAUUGAAUAAUAUUUUUUCAAUAUCUAUUUUUAUAUCUAUGUAUUUACGUAUUUUUAUAAUCUACACAAGUAAAUUGUAAAAUUAUAAUUAUAAUUAAAAUUAUAUUAUAAUUGAUUAUAUUUAAUUGAUUCUCAAUAUUUAGUUUUCUUCAAUUAUCAAUGUUGUUUUCAUCAAAUAAAAAGUAAAAGUUGAUGAAAUUCGUGCAAAAAAAUUUUGGCAAAUUUUACGAGCAGAAGCUAAUCUCUCACGACAAGAAACCAAAGUUUUUUAUUGGCAAUAAGUUUCACGUUAAAUCUAUUUCUUUAGCAUUGUACAAUAUUAUUUGAAGUUGAUUAAAAUCCAAUAUAAAUGAUUCUGCAGUUUAUUAUUAAUUACAAGUUUUUCUAAAAUCCUAUACUAAAAUCUUUAAUUUAUAGAAUUAAAAUUUUCUUUUUAUGAAUGAAUAUAAAGAUAUUUUAAUUUUAAUUUUAUAAUCACUUCUCUUAUGUUGGUAAUCAUUAUCAAUGGAUAUAAGAUAAGUCUUAAAUUAUUUUUUAUUUGUUUAGAAUACCAUUUAUUUUCUUUUUUAUUUCUCCUUAAUUUGCACUUAAUAAAAAAACAAAUUAAUGAUUCUUUAUUGUAAUACAUUCUUUGAAAACAAUCUUUCUCUUAUUUUUAUAUUGAAUCAUUUAAUUAUUUCAUUCUCUGUACAAAUUAAAAUCAAACUUUUGAUAUCAAAUUUUUAAACAAAAUUAUCAAAAUCGAAUACGUUUAAAAAAUCUCUGAAUAUGAAUCUUUUAAAAUUGUUGAUAGAUAAGUUAAAUAAAUUAAACCUGUAAAAUAUAGCACUCUUUAAAAGAAAAUUUAUAUAGGAAUGGCCAAUUCUCGAGGUAUUAUAUCGAAGCUUUCGAAAAUUGUAUUUGCGUCGUACAAUCCACCAUCGACCCUUCUCGUCGAUUUUUUCCAAUACUUAUAUCUCGUAGAAUUAGUUAAAACAAAAAGGAUCAUUGAUUUCGUAGAAACCAAAAAGGAAAAAAAAAAAAAAGAAAAAAGAUUUUUCUUAUUCGCAUAACAAUAGAAAAAUAAAAAUCUCAGAUUUAAUUGCAACUUCUUAGAUGGCAAAUAAAAUUGUAUGAGUAAUAAUUAUUAACACAAGAACGUAUAGAGUUACAAGUAUAAUCGUAGAUUCGUUCGUAUUUAUUGGCCGCCAUUUUGUUGAAACAACUUUCAUUUUGUUUUCUACUUGGAAUAUAAUAUUUCUUGAAAAAGUGAUUACCAACAAGAAAAGUUAUCCAAGUAAUCAUUAAAUUUUUUAUUUUUAAAAUAAUAAUUAUUGGAAAAUGUGAUAUUCUAUUCUCUGAUAAGUGAAAUAAAUAUCAUUGAUUCGGAAAAUUUAAUGUCAAGUUGAAAAUGGCGUAGAAGUUCGCCAUAAGAGUUAUAUUUAUUUUCGUAGUUUUUUCUUAUUUUCUUAGAUAUAAAAUUUAAAUUUCAUUAUAUUUUUAAAUUAAUUUCCUUUUUAAUUUCUUUAUUAAUUUUUUUCACUUUUUUUUUUGUAUUUAUGUCAUCUGAUUUGAUAUUUAUUUCAGUCAUUAGAUGAUAGAAUAUCGUAAAAAUUAUUUUAUUUUAAAAUUAAUUUCAUUUUCUAGAUAAUUUUUCUUCUAUCGAUGUGUAAGAAACAAUUUUAAGUUUAUCAUUUGUUAAAUUAUUAAUGACAUUCUAUUUAUUUCGUAAAACUGAGAAUUUGUAGCAAUAUAUAUAAAUUUGAAGCAAAAGGAAAAAAAAAAUUAAUUUAUAUAUUUUUUUUAGCUUUAUUAUUAUUCUCUGUUAUUUAUUUAUCCUUAUUUUGACGUACUGUCUUCGUAAUCUUUCUAAUCAUAAAAUAUUGAAAUUACAAAGAUUGCUUGUAAUAACAAUUUAUAAUACAAUAAUGAAAUGAACAUAUAUUUUCAUGAUUAUGAUGCAAAUUGACUUUUACGAUUAUGCAAAUUCACUAUGUUUAAUCUAAUAAUCCAUUUACAUUUUAUCGAACAUUAAUUACAAUUUAAUUUCCUGCAUUAAAUUCGCUACAAAAUUAACAUUUUGUUAUAUGUCUAAUGUAACAAAUAUGAUGAAUGAAUAUAUCAGAUAGCAGAUAAAAAAAUUUUGUCGUUUCCAUGUGAAAAUUUCUAUUCAUUAAAAAAUAAGCAUGUUUACUUUGUUCGAAGCAGGAAAAUAAUUAUAAAUAUCCAUUUCAUAAAAGAUCCACAACCUUGAAAAGUGAAAAACUCUUUUUCAACAUCCUUUUUUUUAUUUUUUAUUUUAAACAUGAUUUUAAAGACGAAGUCUCAACGAUCAUUUCAUCUCAAAAUAUUUUACCUUGUAGCAUGUUCCAUUUUUCAGAAUAUAUAUUAAAAUAAUUGAAAUUCCAUCACACAAUUCAUCCUUUAAACAAAGAUUUUUAAGAUUUAGAAAAAGCCUAAUUUUAUUAUCCUAAGAGAGACAAAGGAAAUUAUUAAUGUCAAAACUGAUUAUGAAUAUAAAAUACAAUAUUAUAACAAUAACAAAAAAUAAUAAAAAUUUUAAUUUAUUAAAUAAAUUUAAAUAAUAGUUGAUUACCUUUUGAAUAAAUAGAGCGAACGUAAAUAUUGUUGAUUCUUCAAUCAUAUAGCAAUAAUUGUGUGUUUGCUAUUUCCCCUUUAUACAUUUCAUAUUUUUAUCGCAACUUUUUCAUUAAUUAAUAAUUUAAACGACCUAUAUUUACGCAACGUUUUAACAUUUUUUUCUAACUUUUAAUUACCUAUACAAUAUACGUUUGUUUAAUUCAACAAUAUACAUGAAUAUAUACAAAUUAAUGUUACACCCUGCAUACAUUCCUCCAUCAGAUAAAAGAAACGACAGAACUUUCUUACGGACGCUUAAUAUCACAGGCAGUGGCAUUAAUAUGGCUGCCAACAGUUUUUUUUUUAUUUUCCAACCAACAAGAAAAUUUCACUUGUGCAUAUAACAUUACACCGCUUGUGUAUAAAGUAUAUAUAUGUAUGUAUGUACUUACUUGUGUACGUAUAUGCGUGCGUGUAUGAGUGUAUAUAUUAAGAGUGGUUCGGAUGUGAAUAAAUAAUCCUCUUAACGUUCUCGUUUCAAGGGGAACGAGCAGAUGCAGAUUAAAUAAUUUGGCCUAAUGCGAACAUUUUCUGCCGUUAAUUCUCAUCUUCCAAUCCGAGUGUGAAUCUGAAUCACUGAAAAAAAGGGAUUAUUCUCACCGUGAUGCGAUCUUUACUCAUCGUAAAAGGAUGUUGGAAAGUGGAAAUCGGAUAUUUAAGAGGUUUAUGGAGGCGAGUGAGAGGAUUAAGAAAUGUUUAAUCUUGGAAAUUAAUCUUAUAGCAAAAUCUCUGUAUAAUUUCGUCGAUAUCGAAUAUUGAAAUAAUCCAAAGAGAUGGAAUAUACUAGUACAUUAAAUUUAAUCGAACGUGAAACUCGUUUGAUUGAAAUACAAAAGAUAGAGGAGAAUAGAAGACAGAUUUCAGAUAUAUGCAGUUCGUGUGAAACGAUAAAAAAGUUUAUAAAGUGUACUUUUUCAAAUAGAAAGUAAAUUUGAAAAAAUUGUGAAUGUUCGAUUUCAUCCAUAAUUUUCUGAAAUGAAAGAUUUUGUUACUUAACGUGUCUGUUCUUUCUCUUUCUCUAAAAUAAAUUGAACAAAUUAAUUAAAUAAAAAACGAGUGAAAAAUUAUUAUUUACAGGAAAUGAAGGUAUCUUUUCUAUUAACAUUUCUGAGAUAAAAAUAAUAAGAUGUUCGAAUUAUUCUAAAUUUUUAUUCGAAGAAGACCUGCCGUAAAUGCAUUUUACAAUGAAAAGUGUACGACUCCUCUAAAUCUCUGAUUUCUUCUUUUGUAACGUUCUGUAAUAUAUUCUUAAUGCGACGGAUUAAAUACGAAACGGUGACGUAGCAACGUAAAUUGUUAAUAAAAUACGCGCAUAUUUACAAUAAAUUAAAUUUUACAUUUCAACUAUCUAAAAAUUUCGAAACUAACGAGCAUCUCGAUCUCUAGAUUUCAUUCGAAUUAUAUGAAAAUUGGAAGUUUUUCUCCUCGAAAACUUCACUUCUCUCGACGAGGUUUUCUUAAAACGAGGAUAAAUUAAAAUUGUUGCAUAUUGAUAACGAUCCAAUUACUGUUACAAUCUUAAUAUUUUGGGUCCAUUUUGUAAAAUUUCUUCUUUUUCAAAAAUUAUAAGAAAAUUUACUCGCGAUUAAUUAUUUUGAUCAGAUUUCUUAAAUUAAUUGUUAAAAAGUUAUCUCCUCCUUUAAAUGGAUCCAAUGAUAUUACAUGGAGAGAAUUAAAAGAAAAAAAAAUGAAAUUGAAAAUUAUAAAAAAUUACGAAAUUUUUAAAAAUUAUAAAUUUUCUAUCUAAUUGUUUUUAUAGUAAUACUAAAAAUCAAUACUGUUGCACAAUAAAAUGGAAUGAAAAAAUCAAAGUGAGCAUUUUCUAAUAAUGAAAAGAAUUGCGUAAAUUUUAAAUUUCUCUGAAAUUAAUUUUUAUGGUAACGCAAGGUUUUGCCCUUUCAAAAGUUCAUCCUAUCAAUCAUUUUAAAUUCUUUCGUUGAUCUUACUUCGUAAAUUAAUUCUUUAAUAUAAAUUAAUCGUUUUAUACGAAUAAAAUGAUUUUCAUAAAUAUGCAAAUUAAGGAAAGAAUUCUUAGAAAAUGAUAAAAUAUUUCUCAAUUUUCCCAAAUCUACUUGAAUUUUUUUAUCCAAGAUAAUCAUUAGAAAAUAAAAAUUAUUUCUCUUCAAACGACGAAUAAAUUACCAAAAAAAAAAAAAAAAGAUCGAACAAAAGUUUAUACGACAAAUUGACAAAUUUAUUGAUCAAAUUAAAUUUCAAUUUCUGAUCAAAAAAUUCUACAUCUUAUUCCACCCUGUUAUAACGAAACGAGGAUUUCGAUGGUUAAGUAAGAAUAAGAAAAUAUUAGAAUAUACUCUGUUUCUACGUCACCAAAGAAAAUUCAAUCAAAUUAAAAAGACAAUUACAUACCGUUGUAACAGUGUGCGAGAUAAUCACGACGAAUCUACAAGCGAGCAGUCUGUGUGCCAAAAUGAGUAUUAUUCUUACCGUAUUAAAAGAUGCGUAAGGGGUGAAUAAGAAAUGAAAAGUUGAAAUAAAAUUGUUACUUUCUCCUUCGACAAUCAGCGUGUACUAGAUCGCGUGUGCAUAUUUUUGUGUAAUAAUAAGCAUACGAGAAAGAAAAGACGUAAAUACGUCGAUAUGUCGCUCAGAAUGCUUUAUACAUAUAUCGUGUUGCAGAAAAAAAGAAAAAAAGAAAAAAAAAAAAAAAGAAAAGAAAAGAAAAAUUAAGUAUAUACGAAGAAUGAUGCGAGAAUUAUUUCUAGGAUUUCCAAAUUGUGAGGUAAAUUCAUUUUUUUUAUUCCUUCUGCUUGUGUCUUCCUUUAGACGUAAAAAAAAAAAAAAAUCGAAAAUAAAAGGAAAUAAAUUAUUUCUUCAUUAUGUAAUGUAAUUAUUUAUAAUAGAAAUAUAAAAAAUUUUUUUUAAGGAAUUUUGAUAGAUUUUGUAUAAUUAUUGUUUAUUUAAAUCUGUUGUCUGUUUUCAAUUCUUUGUGGUCGAUCUAUUAACAGUAAUAAAUACAGUAGAAAUACUUCCUAUAUACUUUAAAAUUAUUUUAAAAAAAGUUAAAAUAAAAGUAGCGCCAAAACGGAAUAAAAAUUUCGAGAAAUAGGAGAAAUAAAUUUUGAAAAAUAAUUAAAUGAUCCACGAUUGGUUAUAUUGUGCCAUUAUUGGUUCUAUUAUUAUUAUUUAAAUAAUUUUCUCGAAAAUUUUUAUACCAAAUUUCAUUGGAAAAUGAAAAAGAAAAAUAAAUUGUAAAAAAUAAUAAAAUGACUAUUUAAUAUUGUUUAAUAUUGUUAUUUAAAUAAAUUUCGUUCUCUCGAAAGUUUGUUAGUUCGAAGAUUUGCUGUAACGAUGAUAAAAAAAUAUUUAUUUAGAAAGUAAGUAAAAAAAAAGCAUCGAGUAAAAAAAAGAUUGUAAUAACCUCGCGAUCGUUCUUUUUCGAAGUUAGAUUAUUGAAAACUAUAGAAUUCUAAUUACCGUAUGCUAGAGCAGCACAUUAUACAUUUUCCAAUAAAAUAUUGAAAAUGGAUUUCGAAGUCUUUAACGAUGAAGUAACGAAUUGUAACGAUUUAAUUAAAAGAUACGAAUUUGAAUCUUGUCCGUUGCUAUCACGUGCAACGAGAGAUUAUUUUAUUCAAUGAGAUGUAAACGUUUUCUUGAACAACCUUCACUCGAAUCCGAAUGGGUUAACGAGUAUUUAUAAGGCAUAAGCAAAGAGAUUUAUCUUAGGAAAACAUAAUAAUAAUCUCGAAACUGAGAUGUGUAUCAUACUGACAAUGUUGUAAAAUGUUAAUGGAUGAAAUAUUAAGGUUUAUGUUUCUAUAUUGUAAUAACAUUUAUGUAUAAUGGUUAUUAUAAUGCAAAAAAUAUACAUACUAGUUGUCCA